rnacentral:rRNA from 1 species
CCCCUAGAUGUUCUGGGCCGCACACGCGCUACACUGAAGGAGGCAGCGUGUACUCCUGGAUCGAAAGAUUUGGGUAACCCGCGAAUCUCCUUCGUGCUAGGGAUUGAGGUUUGCAAUUAUCCUUCAUGAACGAGGAAUUCCCAGUAAGUGCAAGUCAUAAGCUUGCGCUGACUACGUCCCUGCCCUUUGUACACACCGCCCGUCGCUACUACCGAUUGAAUGAUUUAGUGAGGACUUUGGACUGGGACCGAUGCGGCUUUCGGGCUGCGUCGGUAUUCUGGAAAGAUGUCCAAACUGUAUCAUUUAGAGGAAGUAAAAGUCGUAACA